ACUCGUUAGGGCGAGUAUAAAUAGCCAUUAGGCCCUAAGCGUCAAUGAUAAGCUCAUUGGGUUGGA
rnacentral:ribozyme from 15 species